GAACGCUGGCGGCAGGCCUAACACAUGCAAGUCGAACGGUAACAGGAAGAAGCUUGCUUCUUUGCUGACGAGUGGCGGACGGGUGAGUAAUGUCUGGGAAACUGCCUGAUGGAGGGGGAUAACUACUGGAAACGGUAGCUAAUACCGCAUAACGUCGCAAGACCAAAAAGGGGGACCUUCGGGCCUCUUGCCAUCGGAUGUGCCCAGAUGGGAUUAGCUAGUAGGUGGGGUAACGGCUCACCUAGGCGACGAUCCCUAGCUGGUCUGAGAGGAUGACCAGCCACACUGGAACUGAGACACGGUCCAGACUCCUACGGGAGGCAGCAGUGGGGAAUAUUGCACAAUGGGCGCAAGCCUGAUGCAGCCAUGCCGCGUGUAUGAAGAAGGCCUUCGGGUUGUAAAGUACUUUCAGCGGGGAGGAAGGGAGUAAAGUUAAUACCUUUGCUCAUUGACGUUACCCGCAGAAGAAGCACCGGCUAACUCCGUGCCAGCAGCCGCGGUAAUACGGAGGGUGCAAGCGUUAAUCGGAAUUACUGGGCGUAAAGCGCACGCAGGCGGUUUGUUAAGUCAGAUGUGAAAUCCCCGGGCUCAACCUGGGAACUGCAUCUGAUACUGGCAAGCUUGAGUCUCGUAGAGGGGGGUAGAAUUCCAGGUGUAGCGGUGAAAUGCGUAGAGAUCUGGAGGAAUACCGGUGGCGAAGGCGGCCCCCUGGACGAAGACUGACGCUCAGGUGCGAAAGCGUGGGGAGCAAACAGGAUUAGAUAC
rnacentral:rRNA from 1 species